GCUUUCAGAACUCUGACACGUCGUUCUCAGCAGCUGAAGCCAUGUGCUGUGACUAUCUUUGGAGCCUCCCCAGCCCUGUUUAGUGCACAGCUGAACUGUAACUGUUGCAAACAUCUGGAGUGGAUGAGAUGGGAAAGGAGACCCGCAGUGAUUGUGGAUUCUGGGGAAGAUGGACCAGUGGUGGUGUGGUAGAUAGGUUGGGUGAGUCAUGCUGGACAAACACCUUAUCAUGCUCAAAUGUUAUGUUCUCCAGGCUGCUGUCCUCUCUUCUAUUUUAAUCAGAGCACUCUUGCCUUUCUGAUGUAAAU
rnacentral:lncRNA from 1 species